CUCACAGUGCCUUAAAUAAUAACAAGAUUUACUGACUCACACAACAGGAAAAUCCAGGCACAAGUUUGGCUGAUCUGGCAAUUUAAGGUUGUUAUUAAGGACCAAUUUCUUUCUUUCUUUUUUUUUCAUUCUGCCCUUUACUGCAUCAGCUUCCACCCAAACUAGGCCUCCCACCUGACGGUGCUUUGUAUCUGUGCAGCAGGCCCUACCAUCAUUCCAAGCAAGAAUCCUAAAAUCCACCUUAAUAGACUUGUUUAGGUCAUGUGCCCUCCCUAAUCCAAUCAUUCUGCCCAGGAUAAUGAAAUGCACCCACCAGCUUGAGUAAACUGGGGCUUAGGCCUGGAGCUGGGUUGGCUGCUUGGAGGUAUAAGGAGGAAGAGGGAAAGAGGAACACAUACGGAAUCAACGGGCAAGCUUGCAGUCCAUCGUAGAAGCCUUGGUGUGCCUGGCAGACAAACCCAGCCAGGUUAUCAGAGCCUCAAACUUGAGACUCGCUUCGGAGGUGGCACUACAGGACUCUUGACUUGCAGCUAUUUGAGCCAAGAGAGGAGUUUGGGAGCCAAAGUGGUGCUGUUUAUUUAUUCCAUCCAGUCAACCAACACAUAUUUGAUGAAUGUUGAUGAGUGCCUGUCACAACAGGAGCUGGUGAAGAUUAAAGGAAAAUGAAACAUGGCCUCUGCCCUUAAGUUAUAACCUAGUGAUGGAGAUAAACACACACAAGAAUAUAUUAUGAUUAUGUAGUCAAGGUCACACAGCUGGCUACUGGCAAGGUUAGGACUUAAAUACAGGAUAUUUUCACCAUUAGACUCUGUUCUUUAUGUGUGAGUGAUUCAUGAAAGACAUACACAUUUAGGUAUUUCUAGAACAGUAGCCCCCCCUUUAUCCGUGGAGGAUACGUUCCAAGACCCCCAAUGGAUGCCUGAAACCACAGGUAGUGCAAAAUUCUAUAUAUACUUUAUUUUUUCCUAUACAUAUAGACCUAUGAUAAAGUUUAAUUUGUGAAGUAGGCACAGUGAGAUAUUGACAACAGUAACUAAUAAUAAAAUAGAACAAUUAUAACA
rnacentral:lncRNA from 1 species